rnacentral:lncRNA from 14 species
AUGACACUUCGGCCCCCAGCACAGCACAGCCAUGGCUCCCAGGAAACUGUGACCUUUACUAGGCUUGAAGAAGGAGAGGAGAUGCCUCCCCAGAGGAUGGUUGUCACCUUGGCACUACUGCUGGGGGCUUGCUGCACCAGUGCUUACCCUGCCUACCCUGAGAGAGACAGAGCCCAAGCCCUCAAGCCAACGGAUUUUAGCCUGGCUGACGGCGCAGAUGGCUUCAUGGCUGAGAGCAAGCCUGCAGCAGGACUCCAGCCUUCCAAGAGCCUGAACCAGGCUCUGCCUGCACAGUGGGAAGGAGUGAGCCAUGACCAGAGAGCAGCUCAUGGCAAUGGAGAGAAAAGCGCUCUCCAGGAGGAUGUCUCUGGACCCUUGCAGGGUGAAGACCUUGAUGCAUUCCUCUGGAAGAUGGUGGCCAUGGGCAAUCUCCAGAGCCAGGGGUUUGCUGAGACAGACCAGACGCCUCCACAGCCCAACAAGAGAGCUUGCUUCUGGAAAUACUGUGUCACCAAGUGAGGGGUUCAGGAGGAGCUCUGCCAGCUGCAUCCUGCCACUGCGAUCCCAGCGCCUUCCAUCCACACCCGACCCUGCUGGACUGAUUGCACUGAGCUAUGAAAGGGCUCUGGUCCCUUGUGGGGAAAGCGGAGAGGAUCUGCAGCAGAGGUGGGGUGUUGUGGGGCAGGGAAAGAGUGCCGUGAGGAUCAGGGGUGCAGGACAGUGCUUCUCCCAUAAAGCAGCCCUCCAGGACUCCUGGCAGGGCAGAGCUACCACAGUGGCCUAGCAGGGACAUGCCAGCUGCCAGGAGGAGCUGAAUAAACC